UGUUAUUAUAAGUGUAUUUUUAUUAUUAUUUCAACGUCCCGCCGGCACCGUCGGUACCGGUGUGUCCUAGAUGAAACAUGGAGCGCACCCUUCCCCAAGUUCCACGAGAGCGCAGAAGCAAAGUGACCGGUCCACGUCCCACAACAAACGACACACGGCCACGGUGCCACACCUCCUGCCGGGAGAAAGGAAUGUAAAAUAUUUCUCUUUCAGAAAAUAAUUUUCAAAGAACACGGCUCUUGUUUCUGAACUCUUCAUGUGACACCUUACCUGGCUUGCUGGUUGGCAUUUGUAAAUCUCCUUCGUCUGCGUGUGCUGACAAAAAAAAAAAAAAAA